GCCCGGUUAGCUCAAUCGGUAGAGCGUGAGACUCUUAGAAUGCCUCAGUAACAGAAGUUGCUCUGGUCUGAGUACGCGAUCUCAAGGUUGCGGGUUCGACCCCCGCAUCGGGCU
rnacentral:tRNA from 2 species